GUAACAAGCUUGAAGCAGAAUCAAGAAAAAUUGGCUAGCUGACGCUCAAGAAAGUUUAGUGGCAGAAAUCGACGAUAUGAGUAAGACAAAGGAUCAGGAAGACCUGUUUCAUGCCAUUUCACUUGGAACUAACCCCUCUUUCACACCAGAUGUGGAGUUCAGUUACUAUGCAUGGUACACCAGAUAUGCAUAGUAACCCCUCACAGUGUUGGUCUUUCUUUGUCUUUCAUAUCUUGAAAUAUACAAUGAGGUAUGCGAAUAAGUUUAUCCAUAAUAUAAUACAGCAUUUACUAACACUGUGAAUAAACCCUCAAGUUAAGGCUUUUAGCCUCAGAUAUAUUUUCUUAUUCUCCUCACUUUGAAGAAUAUCUUACGUUGUUUUUGUAACUCAUCACGUCUCAAUUUCUUUUCUCAAGGAGUUGGAAGAAUUAUGGGAGAGGAGGACUCUAAGAAAUUGAUUUCUUUUCACCAAUCAUAUUUUUUUUUUUUUAGGUGCUUACAAUUUACCCUUCUUCGACAGGAUCAGUUUAGCAGUGGGAACCAAGGUAAAGGGCUUCUGCUUAAGCUGCCUUGACUUCUGCAUUUAAUUCUUCUUCCGGUUUUCUAUUUUAGGAUUUGGUUCCUUAUUUGCAUCGCUGGAUUUCUUACGGUCCUUACUACUGUGGAGUUGGAGCUGACAAGAUUUGGGGGCGUGACAUUGUAGAUGCUCAUUACAAAGCUUGUUUACAUGCUUUAAUUAACAUUAGUGGUACUAAUGGUGAAGUUAUGCCUGGACAGGUGUCCAGGCCCGUUUUCAAUGGAGCUUUGAUAAUAGAUUCUGUUAUUUGUAUGUUUUACCAGUUGCCAAUCCUCUGAUGUUAUUGUAAACAUUUGUGGAGUGAGAGUUCCAAGUUGGCCCAAGCGUAGGAAUCAAUGCAGGUGAUCAUGUUGGGUGUGCUAGUUACCUUCUUGAGGUAAUCAAAAGUCUUUUUUGUAGAGAGGUGUGAGUAAGUUACAUGUUCGUGUGAAGUAGAGGUAUGUUUCAGGCUUGGUUUUCUUUAAGAUUGAUGAUUUUGUCUUCUUCCAAUCUUUAAAUGUUAAAUUUAUUCUUCAGUGCAUUGAUCUAGUAGUGAUCUAGUGUAUCUUGAUGAUCAAUGCCUUUAAUUUCUGAGAAGUCUUUUCCGUUUUGGGUCCGAAUGUCACCUGAACAUUGAGAUGAAUCUUUAUGAUGUUUUGAUUAUAAAUUCUUUCUUAUUGUUUCAAUAUGUAGGUGAUUAGAAAAUGAUCGAAAGCAAGACAACGCAUGUCCCAGUUCAGGACUCUAAGUUAACUCGUCUUCUGCAAUCUUCAUUGACUGGGCAUGGGCAUGGGCAUGGAUCAGUACGUCUCUUCUGUAUUUGGUGAAUUAGCUGGUAGAGUUCUUGAGGCUACAGAGGGUGGUAGAACUCUUUCGACUUAUAUACAUUAGAGUUUGCAUCGAGUAAAGUUUGCUGUUAUGUCCCAAAUGCAGGUUAAGUGGCGGAAAUCAAAGAUAUCGGUGACAGAAAGCAUAAGGAAGACCCACUUCAUGCCAUUUCAAUUGGAACUAAGCCGUCAACUUAAGGAUUUUAGCCUCAGAUAUAGUUUCCUAUUCUCUUCACUUUCAAGAAUAUUAAUAACAUGUGUUAUAAGUGAUCAUGUCUUAUGUUUUAAGCGAGUGUGAUUAUAUGUUCA